AGCUGCUGUGAGGAUUUGAUUCACCAACACAACUAUCAAAAGAAGGAUUCUCAGAGCUCUCGUCUGCCGCCAGCUUAGCAGGGUCCAUUAUACAGAUACGCCCGUGGUGAAUUGGUGUGGUGGUCAAAGAGCCCAUGUUUUCCUCUGGCAUUCAUGUAAUUUCAUGACGUAUGCAUGUGCAGCCUUGUAAUCUGCCCUGAAACAUGCAAAACCAACCAUGAUCCACGUUCUGUGGGCAGAAGAAAGCAUCUGAGGAACCAUCUAUGCAAAGUGUGGUUGUGACGAGUGUCUACAGCAGAGCGGACAAGACAACACACUGAGACCAAUAAAAACAUGUUCACAAGCGGAGCUGUGUGUGAACGCAGAGCGCCGUUUUCUUCGAUUAACAGUGUCGCCUCAUGCUGCAUCUCUGCAAGGGGCAUUUCAUCAAACGCAGAGCUGUCCGGG